rnacentral:lncRNA from 1 species
GAGCCUUUGAGUUUAGUACACUCUUAUUGUACUUCGGAAUAUUUAGGUGGAUGCAGAGGCUAUGGAAGAUUUCUAACCACUUCUCCAUCGAUGAUUUCUGACAGAGUUGCCUAGGAUUUGCUUCUAGUCUCAAUGGUCUGUACCUAUUACACUCCAAGCCUGUGGCCUCCUGUAAAAUGAUGCAGAAGCAAUAAUCACGAGAUCACAUGCCACCAAGUCCUUCAGUAUUGCACCUGGGGUUUGCAAAAGUCCAUCAGUGACUGUGCAUUGCCCAUGCCUUCAGCUCACUGGAUCUCUCCCUCUGGCUGCCCUGUCUCCAGUUCAAAUUUGGCAUUACAGAAUUUCAAG